UAGGCCCUGAAGCCAAGGGAUUGAAGGCAAAGGGGUAUCCUCUUUCAGCACUGAGAGACAAGAGGAAAAGACUCCAGGAGCUGUGGCCUAAGGUUGUGGAUUGAACUGAUGGAGCUGGAUCUUGACCUGUUGAUGGCUUUGCAGAUGAAGAUCAAGGCCUUCAUCUGACAAUGGAAGUGGGGCUGGAGCAAGUGGAGGGAUUUGAGCACAGAGAUGAUGUGUUCACAGCAGCCAGUCCUGCUGAGGAGAACCCUGUGGAAGUCCUACAGAGCAUCUACAGUUACGGCUUAGGAGUUGCCAGUGUACUGCAGAACACUGUGGCCAAAAGGAAAAUUAUCCUAAUGGAAGAUCAGAUUGCUUUGAGAUUCACCAGACAGAAAGGGGCAGGAAAAGGAGUCAAGAUGGUAGCAAAAUAGGUCUGAAAGAAGCAGUUCAGUGGUAGAAGUAGAGGUGAGGGGGAGAGA